rnacentral:rRNA from 1 species
UCGCACCUACCGAUUGAAUGGUUCGGUGAAAAUUCCAGACUGUAACCUUGUUCUCUUAAUUGAGGACGGGCCGCGGAAAGUUAUUUAAACCUCAUCAUUUAGAGGAAGGUG